CCUACGGGCGGCAGCAGUGGGGAAUAUUGGGCAAUGGGCGCAAGCCUGAUCCAGCAACGCCGCGUGAAUGAAGAAGGCUUUCGGGUUGUAAACUUCUUUUCUUAGGGACGAAGAAAGUGACGGUACCUCAUGUGUAAGCCACGGCUAACUACGUGCCAGCAGCCGCGGUCAUACGUAGGUGGCAAGCGUUAUCCGGAUUUACUGGGUGUAAAGGGAGCGCAGGCGGCGUGGCAAGUCCGAGGUGAAACCCCGGGGCCUAACCCCGGGAGUGCAUUUGAAACUCGCAUGCUGGAGUGCCGGAGAGGUAAGCGGAAGUCCUGGUGUAGCGGUGAAAUGCGUAGAUAUUAGGAGGAACACCAGUGGCGGAGGCGGCUUACUGGACGGUAACUGACGCUGAGGCUCGAAAGCGUGGGGAGCAAACAGGAUUAGAUACCCCAGUAGUC
rnacentral:rRNA from 1 species